AGGUUGCCUCAGCAAGAAAAAUCCUUGGCAGAUCUGCACUGGCAGGCAGUUUCUGUUCAUGCAUACAGCAAAAGGCAUGGAGAGAUCAGGAGGUCUGCAGGAACUGACGUAUAAAGGAAAAGGAAGGAAACAUUUGGCCAUUUCCAUUUAUCUUGUCAUGCUGUGGUGCUUAACAGUAAGGCCCAUUAAUGCUGAUACUACACACAUGUGAUAAUUUUAAAGUAUGGAAUCUAGGACAGAAUCCAAUACCACAGGGUCCUUGAACUCACCUGGCUCCAGGUUUUCCAUGAAAAUAGCUUCAGUUCAUUCUUUAACUCAUGGAAAAACACAAAUCCUCAAAAAUUACAGAAGAAUGGAAGUACUUGAGAGUUCUAUGUUGGGAAUAUAAGUUACGGAAUGUGAUUAGAUUGCUAGAGCUACAGCAAUUGUCUUGAAUCCUAAGAUUAUCUUGAAGGUGAAAAUCAGUUCUGAAGAUGACUGAAUCAAAAGACAGAAGGAGACUAAGUUCUCAUGACUUCAUGGAACUGUCAUACUAUCCUUGGACUCCAUGAUUUUGUAACCUUUUUAUUUACAUAGGAAAGUAAAUGGUCGUUUAAAUUAUUGUCCGAGAGUGUAUUACUUGAGACAAAAUUAAAUCUCGUCAGCUAUACCAUUAUCCCCAAGAUGCUGCCUGAAGUUCUUAACUUGAUAUUCACAGUGGAAACUCUACUUGCCCCUACGACUAAUUCUACAACACUUCUUCCACCAGAAACAUUUCUUUAAUCAAGUUAAUAUUCUCCAAAUGUGCUCUGCAUGCUCCUGGUUCUGAAAUUUACCGCACUAUCUCAGCUACUGUGACUUUCAAUUACCCCAGGCAUCUGUACCAGAACUUAAAUAAAUAAUAGAAUAAUGGACUUUUCAAAAUGGAAGAGGAUUUAAAAUUUCUCCAAUUCAAAACUUUCCAUACAGUGAAGGAAAAUGUUUCAUAUCCUUAAUACUAAACUGUGUUUGGUGACCACACCCUUUUACAGGACCCCUGGAUAUUCAGUGCACCUUGAGGUUUUAGAGGCAUUGCAUCUGUAGCAUAUCUGAUCAAAUGCUGCUUAACUACUGUGCAGGUUGCUCACGAUACAGAAGAAACAUUCACCUUCUCUGAUUCUAGGGCUGCUCUGAUUAUUAGCAAGCCAUUCUAUAUAAUCAGCUGGAAACUGCUUCCUUGGAACUUUCAUCUUAUUUUCAGUCCCUGGACUAACAAAUAAUACUGAUGCACCACAAUUAUUUGAAGGCCAAGACCAGAUCUCCCCGGAAGAGAACAGUAGCCAUCUCCUGUGACAGUGAAGACAGAAGCUCCUCCUCUGAGGAGAAAGGAGUAUCAGGAAAGCCAGGAAAUGGAGGCAUCUCCAGGAAAAUCAACAGCAUACAAUCACUUAUUCUCCUUUUAUGUCAUUGGCAACAAUACUCAGGUGAGUCUUGCAUGCCCAGAACCACGCUGAUUCAAUUCAGCAGGGCAUUCCCAUCCAAGUUGGCCGCUAUUUAAUCACUGCAAUGCUUUUGAGAUGCGUCUAAAUUAUUGUAUUUGCUAGUAAUUGUUCCUUUUUAAUUUUGAGGAAUCUAUUCUAUGGAUAUACUACAGUGUGUUUAUCCAUUCUCCAGUUCACAAUCAUGACAGCUUUUUCUAAGUUUCAGUUUCCUAUAAACAACCUACAAAUCUUUAUGUGAAAUUUUAUUUCCAUUGUUUUGAAGUAUGUAUCUAGGAAUGAGAAAUUAGAGUUGUAUCAUCACUAUAUGCACAAAUUUACAUUAAAUUAACCAAUUUUUUCUGAAGAGGCUGCACAUUUUGCA